CCCUCCCCCACAGAGCGUCUCCGACCGUCUGCUUGGGAUAGUUUGAAAUCGCGGUUUUGUUCGUCCCACUGGGUGUCCCAAACGAUCUGUCCCUGCAAUCCCCUGGGCUGGCCUACUGUCCAAGUCUCAUUCAGUCUCAAGUCCAGCCCUCUCAAGUCUCAGGUUGCCGGUUCAACAGGGCACCCGGACAAGCGCGCCCUGUGGGGAUUGCUGGGUAGGGCAGCCGCCGCCGCCCCGGCUGCCGGCUUCGCCAGGCAGACCUACUGCCUGGUGUCCCGUGUCUUUUUUAUACUUGGGAGUUUCCCCGUUCUGUGGGCAACAAAGAUCAGUCUGGAUAUGCAGCUCCAACUCACCAUUUGCGGAUUCAACGAGAGCUCCAAUCCUGGCUUGUUCUCACAGUGCCAUCUUGAGUCCUCCCCCAAGAAUGAUACUUUGAACAGAUCUGUGAUGCUCUGGCACUCCACACCUUCCCAGUGGCUGCAAUUACACACAUCAAGUUUCAGAAUGAACGACAAGUGUCUUCAAAACUGGGAACUUUGAGUUGUUCAUCACUCAGUUGCUGUUUCUUCAACAACUAUCAGUACAGUGCGUUGACGCAAAGAUGAAUAAGAAACGCACCUUUCACGGCUUUAACUUUAGGAGAGAAUCCAGCACAUCACGUAUCUUCAAUAGAUUUUAUAAAUGAAUAAAUAAAUGAACAAAUAAAUCA
rnacentral:lncRNA from 13 species